rfam:Schistosoma haematobium C9946259_1, whole genome shotgun sequence.
AUCCAGGUGACGAGUCUAGAUAGGACGAAACGCGAGUCCAGGAU